ACGGGUGCGUAACGCGUGGGAAUCUGCCCUUGGGUUCGGAAUAACAGUUAGAAAUGACUGCUAAUACCGGAUGAUGUCUUCGGACCAAAGAUUUAUCGCCCAAGGAUGAGCCCGCGUAAGAUUAGGUAGUUGGUGGGGUAAUGGCCUACCAAGCCGACGAUCUUUAGCUGGUCUGAGAGGAUGAUCAGCCACACUGGGACUGAGACACGGCCCAGACUCCUACGGGAAGCAGCAGUGGGGAAUAUUGGACAAUGGGCGAAAGCCUGAUCCAGCAAUGCCGCGUGAGUGAUGAAGGCCUUAGGGUUGUAAAGCUCUUUUACCAGGGAUGAUAAUGACAGUACCUGGAGAAUAAGCUCCGGCUAACUCCGUGCCAGCAGCCGCGGUAAUACGGAGGGAGCUAGCGUUGUUCGGAAUUACUGGGCGUAAAGCGUACGUAGGCGGUUACUCAAGUCAGAGGUGAAAGCCCGGGGCUCAACCCCGGAACUGCCUUUGAAACUAGGUAGCUAGAGUCUUGGAGAGGUUAGUGGAAUUCCGAGUGUAGAGGUGAAGUUCGUAGA
rnacentral:rRNA from 1 species